UAUUUCCAACCAUAAAAUCAAUACCAGUUUCCAAUUGGUAUACAGUAGGUAUUUUGAAAUAAAAAGUUUUCCAUUGGGACUUAUGGUAACCAUUAAUUUCAAUAUUUAAUCCUUUUACUACCUUAGAAGUUUUAACUUCAGAUUUAUUUACAAUCUUAAGAUUUAAGAUUCUUUCAGAUGUUACCCAAAAUUGUUUUGGUAUAACCCAUUUACUUGCUGUGCAUACUGAAGCUCCAGUAUCAACAUAAGCAUGGAUAGUAAUCUUUCUAUAUCCUUCAAAUCUUAAUUUUAUAGGAAUAUAGAUAUAAUUAGGAUUUGUAAUAUUUUUACCACUCAUCGUCUAAUGAUUCUGUUUCUGAAUAUUCAGAUUUAGUUUCAGUAGUUAGAUAAUAUAAUGAUUCUGUAUCACUAGGUCUUCUACUGGGUA
rnacentral:lncRNA from 1 species